rnacentral:misc_RNA from 1 species
UUUCCGUAGGUGAACCUGCGGAAGGAUCAUUAAUGGAGACUUGCUGCCACUCUGUUGAGUGUGCUGGCAAUCGCCCAUCCUGUGUUGUGUGCGUGUAUGUGUGUGUGUGCUUUUGCACACAUGUGCUUGUUAACCCAUGUGUUUAUUGAUUCUGAUACAACUGCUCGCAAGCCCAGCAAUGGGCAGCGACACAACAAUCGAAAACUGCCACCAAUGGAUCACUUGGUUCUC